CACGAAGCCGGAAUCGCUAGUAAUCGCGGAUCAGAAUGCCGCGGUGAAUACGUUCCCGGGUCUUGUACACACCGCCCGUCACACCAUGGGAGCUGGAAAUGCCCGAAGUCGGUGACCCAACCGCAAGGAGGGAGCCGCCGAAGGCAGGUCCGGUAACUGGGGUGAAGUCGUAACAAGGUAGC
rnacentral:rRNA from 1 species